GGCUCUUUGAGAAAGUCUGAUAAAGAGUUGGACCUGCCCAGUGAAGGAUUUUAACGGCCGCGGUACUCUGACCGUGCAAAGGUAGCAUAAUCAUUUGCCUUAUAAUUGAAGGCUUGUAUGAAUGGUUUGACAAGAAUAUAGCUGUCUCUAUAUAAUUUUAUAGAAUUUUAUUUUGAAGUGAAGAAGCUUGAAUAUUAUUAAUAGACAAGAAGACCCUAUCGAGCUUGAAAAGAUUUAAUAAAGGUGUAUGCAAAUAAGAUUAAAAAGUUGUUUAUUUUAUAUUUUGGUUGGGGCGACUUAGGAACAAAAAAAGCUUCCUAAAACUUUAUAGAAGACAAUUUGAUCCAAAAUUUUUUGAUUAAAGAAAUUAGUUACCGUAGGGAUAACAGCAUUAUCUUCUUUGAGAGUUCAUAUCGAAAAGGAGGUUUGUGACCUCGAUGUUGGACCAGAAUAUCCUAAAGAUGUAGCAGUCUUUAAGGGUUGGUCUGUUCGACCAUUAAAAUUCUACG
rnacentral:rRNA from 1 species